rnacentral:rRNA from 1 species
UGUGAUGUUGAGAGAUUUAUCGAUUCCGGAUUGGCUCGCGUACCAUUAGCUAGUUGGCGGGGUAACGGCCCACCAAGGCGACGAUGGUUAGGGGUUCUGAGAGGAAGGUCCCCCACAUUGGAACUGAGACACGGUCCAGACUCCUACGGGAGGCAGCAGUGAGGAAUAUUGGACAAUGGCCGAGAGGCUGAUCCAGCCAUGCCGCGUGCGGGAGGACGGCCCUAUGGGUUGUAAACCGCUUUUGUCAGGGGGCAAUAAGGUCUACGUGUAGACUGAUGAGAGUACCUGGCGAAUAAGCAUCGGCUAACUCCGUGCCAGCAGCCGCGGUAAUACGGAGGAUGCGAGCGUUAUCCGGAUUUAUUGGGUUUAAAGGGUGCGUAGGCGGGCUGCUAAGCGUGAGGUGAAAUGCCACGGCUCAACCGUGGAACUGCCUCGCGAACUGGCGGUCUUGAAUGCUCCUGCCGUGGGAGGAAUGUGUGGUGUAGCGGUGAAAUGCAUAGAGAUCACACAGAACACCGAUUGCGAAGGCAUCUCACGAAGGGGUGAUUGACGCUGAGGCACGAAAGCGUGGGGAUCAAAC